AAUAUUGGGCAAUGGGCGAAAGCCUGACCCAGCGACGCCGCGUGAGGGAAGACGGUCUUCGGAUUGUAAACCUUAGUUAGCAGGGAAGAAGAAAGUGACGGUACCUGCAGAGAAAGCCACGGCUAACUACGUGCCAGCAGCCGCGGUAAUACGUAGGUGGCAAGCGUUAUCCGGAAUUACUGGGUGUAAAGGGUGUGUAGGCGGGGAUGCAAGUCAGAUGUGAAAAUUACAGGCUUAACCUGUAACCUGCAUUUGAAACUGCGUUUCUUGAGUGUCGGAGAGGUAAAUGGAAUUCCUGGUGUAGCGGUGAAAUGCGUAGAUAUCAGGAGGAACACCGGUGGCGAAGGCGAUUUACUGGACGACAACUGACGCUGAAACACGAAAGCGUGGGGAGCAAACAGG
rnacentral:rRNA from 1 species